rnacentral:rRNA from 1 species
UACGUAGGGGGCAAGCGUUGUCCGGAUUUAUUGGGCGUAAAGAGCGUGUAGGCGGCCACACAGGUCAGCUGUGAAAACUCGAGGCUCAACCUCGAGACGUCGGUUGAAACCGUAUGGCUAGAGUCCGGAAGAGGAGAGUGGAAUUCCCGGUGUAGCGGUGAAGUGCGCAGAUAUCGGGAGGAACACCUGUGGCGAAAGCGGCGCACUGGACCACAACUGACGCUGAGGCGCGAAAGCUAGGGGGAGCAAACAGG